rnacentral:rRNA from 1 species
UACGGAGGGUGCAAGCGUUAUCCGGAUUCACUGGGUUUAAAGGGCGCGUAGGCGGGCUGUCAAGUCGGUGGUGAAAUCGUUCCGCUCAACGGGACAAUGGCCUUCGAUACUGGCGGUCUGGAGGGAGGUAGGGGCAUGCGGAACUUCCGGUGGAGCGGUGAAAUGCGUAGAUAUCGGAAGGAACACCGAUGGCGAAAGCAGCGUGCUGGACCUUUUCUGACGCUGAGGCGCGAAAGCCAGGGGAGCAAACGGG